rnacentral:rRNA from 1 species
GGCGGCGUGCUUAACGCAUGCAAGUCGAACGAGAAUCCGCUGAAGGAGGAUUCGUCCAACGGAAGCAGAGGAAAGUGGCGGACGGGUGAGUAACGCGUGAGGAACCUGCCUUGAAGAGGGGGACAACAGUUGGAAACGACUGCUAAUACCGCAUGACGCAUAGAGGUCGCAUGAUCUUUAUGCCAAAGAUUUAUCGCUUCAAGAUGGCCUCGCGUCUGAUUAGCUGGUUGGCGGGGUAACGGCCCACCAAGGCGACGAUCAGUAGCCGGACUGAGAGGUUGAACGGCCACAUUGGGACUGAGAUACGGCCCAGACUCCUACGGGAUGUUUCCCCGGCGAAUAUUGGGCAAUGGGCGCAAGCCUGACCCAGCUACGCCGCGUGAAGGAAGAAGGCUUUCGGGUUGUAAACUUCUUUUAAGAGGGAAGAGCAGAAGACGGCACCUCUAGAAUAAGCCCCGGCUAACUACGUGCCAGCAGCCGCGGUAAUACGUAGGGGGCAAGCGUUAUUCCGGAUUUACUGGGUCGUAAAGGGAGCGCAGACGGCGAUGCAAGUCUGGUGUGAAAACCCGGGGCUCAACCCCGGGCAUCGCAUUGGAAACUGUGUGACUGGAGUGCAGGAGAGGUAAGCGGAAUUCCUAGUGUAGCGGUGAAAUGCGUAGAUAUUAGGAGGGACACCAGUGGGGAAGGCGGAUUGCUGGACGACAACUGACGGUGAGGCGCGAAAGCGUGGGGAGCAAACAGGAUUAGAUACCCUGGUAGUCCACGCUGUAAACGAUGAAUACUAGGUGUGCGGGGACUGACCCCCUGCGUGCCGCAGCUAACGCAAUAAGUAUUCCACCUGGGGAGUACGAUCGCAAGGUUGAAACUCAAAGGAAUUGACGGGGGCCCGCACAAGCGGUGGAUUAUGUGGUUUAAUUCGAAGCAACGCGAAGAACCUUACCAGGGCUUGACAUCCUACUAACGAAGUAGAGAUACAUCAGGUGCCCUUCGGGGAAAGUAGAGACAGGUGGUGCAUGGUUGUCGUCAGCUCGUGUCGUGAGAUGUUGGGUUAAGUCCCGCAACGAGCGCAACCCUUAUUGUUAGUUGCUACGCAAGAGCACUCUAGCGAGACUGCCGUUGACAAAACGGAGGAAGGUGGGGACGACGUCAAAUCAUCAUGCCCCUUAUGUCCUGGGCUACACACGUAAUACAAUGGCGCACACAGAGGGAAGCAAAACCGCGAGGUGGAGCAAAUCCCUAAAAGGCGUCUCAGUUCGGAUUGCAGGCUGCAACUCGCCUGCAUGAAGUUGGAAUUGCUAGUAAUCGUGGAUCAGCAUGCCACGGUGAAUACGUUCCCGGGCCUUGCACUCACCGCCCGUCA